rnacentral:lncRNA from 1 species
CUAUGCAUUCUUUUUCAAUUACCAUGGUUAAAAUUCAAGAUCUCAUGAAGGAUUCAUGGCUGACCGAAUUUAGGGAGAGAAGAUUUGAUGAUUUAUUUGGUUAGAUUUCAAGGUAUCUUAGUGUUUUUAGUUGUUUGGUGAUGUUUAGCAUGAAAAACAAGCAAGAAAUUUCAUGCCCUUCACCCACACUCCUUGGCUAAAAUUUUCAAGAGAGAAAUUGGAUAAUGGACUUUGAUGAAUUUCAUGCUAUUUAGGUGUUUUUAGUUGUUUUAUGAUGUAAGGUGUAAAAAUCAAGCAUGAAAAUUACAUGUUCUACACUAAACCUUCAAUGGCCGAAUUUUACAAGGAAGAUAUUGAUGAUGGAUUUUUGUGAUAUUACAUAUUAUUUAACUUGUAAUUGAUGACUUGGAGUGUUGGAAGUGGAAUCAAGUUAAUUGGAGUUGAAUUGGAUGUAUUGGCCAAUUAACCGGUGUAUAGAUCGAAUUAGGCCAAUACCAUUUUAUUUCGAUACAUAAUUGAAGCUACGUAGAACACCAUAUUUAGAUAAUAAUCCAAACAUUUCGCAUCCCAUUUCA